UCCAUCCCCUAUUAAUGGGGCAGUGACUAUGCUGGAAUUAGCUGGAUAUUCCACAUUGUUUCUCGGUGACUGUGUGCUUUUGUGGCAUGUUUAACCAUUCUUUGUGGCUAUAAUGCAUUUUAUGUUCCAAUCCAUCAGUCCUUUACCCCUCAUCCUGAUUUUGAUUUUCUCCUCUUGUUAAUCUAGAAAACUGCUACUCAACAUCAUGAGCCUAGCUCACAGCGUAUCUUCAUUGAAAGCUCUCUUUCUGGAGUUUACACACUACUGACUCUGGCUUCUGCAGUGAGGGCUCCCUUGUUCUCAUGACUUCAGACUUGCACUGGAAUUACACCCCAGCUUUCCUGAUUCUCCAGUUUGAAGAUGGUAGCUUGUGGGACUUCUCAGACUCCGUAAUGAGGUAAACCAAUGCCUCAUAAUAAAUCUUUCUUUUUUUUAACUUUUAUUUUAAGUUCAGGAGUACAAGUGCAGGUUUGUUACAUAGGUACAUGUGUGUCAUGGGGAUUUGCUGUACAAAGUAUUUCAUCACCCAGGAAUUAAGCCUAGUACUGAUUAGUUACUUUUCAUGAUCCUCUCCUUCCUCCCACCCUCCACCCUCCAA